rnacentral:lncRNA from 7 species
GCUGCGUGGGCGAACACAUAGAAGAAGUUUUUACCUCGGAUUAUGGAACUUCCGGGUUCCACCCACGAUACCGCGCGGCACGGCGGCGGAUUUCCUGACACCGACGAUGAAUUAGGGAGGAUUCGGUUGGUCUCCAGUUCCUACGACUCCGUGCCUAGGUUCACCACGGCCUCGUCAACAACCAUAGCCCCACUCUGGCCAUAGACCGGCAGCACGGGCAGCACACAUCGACGGUGGUUUCUUUUCUACUAGACUGCUCUCCAUUGGCUCUACUCGGGGUCGGGAUCUGAUGAACGAGAGGAGGUGGCUAG